CAAGAGGGCAAAAGAGCCCCAGAAGCAUCGUUUCUUUCCGGACCCGGUUCUCUCUUCCUUUGCCCUCCAGGGGCCGCUGCGUUUUCCCGAAAGCGCGCGGGAGGUCUGGUUGCCGCGAGACCGUCGCCAGGCAACCGCGUGUACACACACUUCUGGCCGGCCGGGGUCUCGUCAAUAUGGCGGCGCCAGGCACCCCCUCGACCUCUCCCCUCGACCUGUCUCCCACAUCUGUGUCCCCUCCAGGACCGCCGCCGACCCCGCCCCCGACCUCGAACGCGCUCUCGAAGUCGCCCCUGGAGUCGAAGGCGAGCUCCCAGAGCCCACUGUCUCGCUCGACCUGCCAGGAGACCUCGUUGCCCCUCGCCGUGUUUUACGGGCCAUUGGACGCUAAAAACCCGCUUCUGGCCUCCUGCGAGAGGGAGAUCCGGGAAUUACUAGGCUUUAUGAGGAGAAAGAAGGCGUUAGCGACAACAGAGGAACAGAAGCAUGAAUUCCACCGGCUUUGUGCCACCUCUUUGUUUAAUAUCUGGACCAAAUAUGCCCCACGGCUGCCAGCUGCCUAUUACAAUGAAAAGCUUCUGAAGGUUGGAGAUAGCCUUUGUGAAAUAAAAGAAUAUAAAUUGGCCCUUUUACAGUGCUAUGGAAGGUACCUUCAGCAGUUCCAUGUCAACUUUGAUGAGAAUAAAGCAGAUGUGAAUCAAUUCAAAACUGCCUUUUUUCCAAAAGGCCUUGGAGACAAAACUUCUGCUCAUACAUUUCAUGCUUUAAGUGGCAAAAAUAUUUGCAACUAUGAACUGGUCUGUGACAAUGAUGUGAACCUGCAGAAUAAAGAAUCUGUGACCCAGUGCCUGCAGAUUUUGUCCUCCUUAAGACUCAUCAUGCAGGUGGCUUUGCCACUGGAACACCUUUGCUGGAUUAUUUUCAACGGUACCAUUUACAUUUACACCAUUUGCAGAAAACUGAUGAUCAUAGGUCAGUCUUCCAAGGCCUUGGAAUACCUCCUGUGGGCCAGUAUGUGUAUGGAGUUCUCGGUCCCGCUCCUGUCUGUCAGGUACCUGACGUGGCGGGCUACUCUUUACACUGCCGUCUGCCAGUGCUAUUAUGACUGCCAAGCUGGUGUUCAUGCAGAGGCAUUUGCUCGGCGUGCUUUAGCUAAAAUUGAUGAGUUAAGGCAACUGGAAUUAAUGAGUUCCUCACAAUCGCAGGAAGAAUCCAGAAGAUACUAUAGAGAGGCCACCAUAAAGAUGGCAGUGAUGAUCUUCAAAAGAGGAGUAUUUGAAUCUAGAAGGAAACACAAAGGUUUGUUUAGACCAAAGAUAAGAGUGAACCUAAGGGAAGCUCAAACUUUGCCAUGGCCACGUACUGUCACAGAGCGGUUGUUGGAUGAGAUGUUUGAUAGCACCGCAUCCCGGUUUCUGGCUGUCUUAGAAGCUCUUUCUGAUUCAAAUAGGCGUACUCUACAAACUGGACCUAUUGUUACAGAUGAAGUAGAAGUUCGUGAUGUUGUCUCAGAACUGUUUAUGGCAGGAAAAGAACUUUUAAUAAUGUCAAAUACUGGUGCAGAUGGAAUGCUUGAUUUUCCACAAACAUCUCUUCUGCAACUUAUUAUAAAAGGAAAAAAUGUUAUUCCUAUAGAUGCUGCUGUGAAAUUUAUAAAACUAGCUUUUACUUAUGAGGAAUGGAGUUUAUUUGAAUCUUCAGCUGGGCAGCUUAUUGAUUUUCUCCAGAGGCAGGAUGAUCCAGAGUCAAAGAAAGCAGAAAAGGAUUUAACUCUUCUAAUUGCAAUAGAACCUUUAAUCAAUGUAAAGAGAAACAAAGGUAUGGUCUUUCCCAUGGAAAACUACAAAGAAGGACAGUCAGCUCAAAUUUAUGUUAAAAAAAUCGGUUUUCAUGAUACUUGUAAGACUUAUGGAUAUUCAGAAGACAUUUUCCACUUGGCAGCAACCUUGUACUCCUGUGUCUGUGCCUCUCCCCAGAAUGUUCAGCCUGAUAAAGAAAUCGUUGUGGACACGAUAAUGUUCCUAUGGCAGAAAUGCAAAUUAGGAAUUCAGAGGAUCAAUAUGUCCAGAAAUGACUAUGCAAAAUUCACCCAGAAAAUCAGCACUAAUAAAUGGGUUUAUCUUCUGUGGCAGAUAAAUGAAGUAAUUCACUGCUAUAAAAUGGAAGACAUUGACGUUGUGGUGGUGGCAGAGGUCACAUUACAAUUAAGUGAAAUAUUGGAGUCAUUAGGAAACCCACGAAAAAAAUUUAAAAAAUCUCUAGAGAUAUCUUUAAGGAAAGGGACUGGUGAAUUCCUUGAGACUUCAAAAGGGAGCCUGGAAAUUCUCCCAAUAUUGAAGAAAAAACCCGUGGAACAGUUAUUUUUGGCUUAUGAACUUCUUGACAAAGCAAUUGGUGGAAUAAAUUUGAAUUGCAAGUUAAGUACUUUGCCAAAUGGAUCAUCAGUGAUUGACCAUUGCUAUGCCAAGUAUACCCAAGAUAUAGAUGGAGACAUCUGCAAACCAGUCACACAGAAUAGUUUCAUGAUGGAUUUACAUCUUGAACUAAUUCAAGCCCAGCACCGAAUAGCUGUUGUGCUUCUUGACCAAUUGCAAGUUUUGCAGACUCCAGCUGCUAGCAAGCAUGUAUCUGCCAAAGAUCCAAAAAAACUGAAACAAUCUAGAAGCAUUGACUGUUUUACAGAAUUAAGUGUAAUGAAUAAAAUAAAGAAGAAUAAGCUGUCCAAAGCGAUUUACUUGAUGCAGAAAGCUCUUCUAGUAUUUGAAAAAGAUGCAGCCUCUACAUGUUCACACAACUUUUUGAUGGAAGCAUAUUCUUUAAUUGAGAAGAUUGAAACAGAACAAAAUGCCCUAUAUUCAUAUCAAAAAUAUGUGGAGAGUUCGAAAAGAAAGAAAAGCAGAAUCCCUCCCCCACCUAUCCUGCUAUCCCGAACUCAUUGUUCUGUGACAUUGAAACCUGCUCCAUUUAUUUCAGAUGUUAAGGUCUCCUGGUACUGCAUUUUGGGUUGCAAAGCAGAAGGAAGCUAUGGAAAAGUAAGGCUAAACAAUAAUCAUCUCCCAAACUCAGGAGAAGCGAUACCAGCUGAUGGUAAAAGCAUUUUUGAAGUGAAAGGUUUAGAAACAAAUGAAAAAUAUGUCUUUGCAAUUGCUGCUUAUUCUUCUAACGGGAAGCUUAUUGGUGAUGCCAUUGGGGAGACAACUAAACCAAUUCUGGUUUAUCCACCUCUUUCUGCUGUUACUACUCGGAUGUUCUUGACGCAGGUUGCCUAUCAGAUUGGUAACUAUGAGUUGGCUAAGAAGGUUUUCUUACCAGUUUGGGAUUAUUUUGUUGCUUCACCACAUCAUGAUGAACAAUCUGUUAUUUGCUUAAGCAAUAUAAUGACUAUUACACAGAGAAGAUUACAUUCAGAUAUUUUGGCAGAGACUUCUUCAAUCCUCUUAUACCUUUUUCUUAGAAAUAUUUUUGUAACAAGUGACAUUAAAAUUAAAGAAGAAAAUCUUUUCUGUGAUAAUAUUAAAGGCAAUGAGAUUUUCCCCUCUCAACAAAUUGCUAGAUUAAUUGAAUGUGAGAGAAUAUUAGUGGCAUUGGACCUUAGCAACUACCUAAAUGAUUCCAGUUAUGCCCUUCAAGCUGUGACUCAGUGUUAUGGCCUCCUUGCUCCUGUAAUCUACCACAAUGUUGUUUUGGUACCUGUUGUACAGAUCUUGAUAAAGUGUGUGGUGGUUUUGCAGGGACUACCAAACAUUGUCCACUCAAAGAAACAUUUUGCAAGUUUUGAAAGUGUACAGCACAUGAUAGCUUGUUGUGUCUUCUACAUAACAAAGAUUUUGCGUUCAUGGAAAGAAUAUGACCUGGCAGUUAUGAUUAUAAAUUAUGGAAAAAAGAUGUUAGACAUCACAUCAGGGUGCAAAUCUCUAUUUGGUGUGACUGACCAAGAAGAAACACAAGAGGAGGGUUCUUCUAAGAAGUCUUACAAGCCUAAGAAGCCACAGCAGAUAUUAUUACCUGAAAAAAUAAAUGAACAGCUGGCCUUGUUGGAGACCCACCUACUCAAACUGACGAAGCAAUAUGUUACAACUGAACUCUCAGGAACAGAGGACCCUGUAUUUCUUUACCCUAUUGUUUUAAACUGGUCGGUCAAAGGUGCUGUGAAAGAAGUUAUGAAAUUUAAGCAGAGACCUAGAUUCCUAGAAUUCUUUACACAAGUUAUGCUAAAAUGUAUGAACGAUGAAAAAUUUCAUCUUAUGGUGGAGAUAACAAAUCCUGUUUAUGACUUCUUAAAAAGGAGGAAUGAAUCCCUACUUGGAAUUAAAAGAACAAAAUAUAAAGACAAUAUUUUGUGUAAAAAGACAGGCAAACCUUUGAAGAAGUUCAAAGCUGCAGUAAUGGAGAUUGGAAGAACUAUAGAAAUGAUGCCAACAAAAAGAAGUAAAAGAAAGGAAACUCUAAGAGAAUUUUUUUCUAAAAAUCCAUCUAUUGCUGAAAUGAUGGAACAUGAAAGAAAUAAGAGAACUGAUGUUAGAAAACUUGCCUAUCGAUCCCUGGUGGAGAACUUGAAUCCUAUAAUAUUAAAUUUUGUGAAAAGGAAGAGGUUCCAUCAACUAUUUCUUGAGGAGAUGCCCUGGAGAGCUCAGAUGAACCUAUAUCUGGCAAGUGCACACUUCUCCCUGCUUUUAACGAAACUAGCGGAACGAACGAAGAUGAAAUUUGGCACUUCACACACAGUGGUCAGUUUCCGAUCAUGUGAUCCUAAUAUGUUCUCACUAUAUAAUUCUGGAACAGUAUUACCAACAGUGAAAUUGACUCUAGAAAACUAUAAAGCAAUACUUGAUUUCCUUCAUACAGCUAAGAAAAGAAAGGCCAACUUACCAUCAGAUGCUGAGGAAUUUUCCACAUUUAUUAAUUCCAGAAUGAGUGGUGAAAACGUGUCAAAGACACAAACAGUUUAUGACUCAGACUCUCAGUCAGGUCUUAGUACUAAAGAAAAGGAUCGAGCAGCAAAUUUGGGUCUAUUGGAUCAUUUUAUGAAAAUCUUUUUAUAUUGCAGGAGAGCAAUGGUUCUUGCUCAUCGUGGAGGCUAUUGGACUCUGCUUCAGAAUAGCUGUAGGACCUUUUGGAACUUUACUCAGGAGCUACAGAUACUUCUUAAACAAGCAGUGGAUCUGUAUAAAACAUUUCCUGUUAGCCAGGAUGGUUUCCUCUGUACCUGUGUUUUGCCAUUCUAUUUGGGAGCAGAAUUACUUAUUGACAUGUUAAUAGAACUGCAAAAUACCAAUUCUAUUAAGGUUAUUGAAGAAAAAGGAGAGUUCAGUGUUCCAAGCUGCUAUGGAAAUAUUAAAAAUGAUCAUGGUGGUUCUAGCCUUAAUUUUGAGGAUCCGUUGGAUGAUGUAAAUGUGGUUGAUUUGAAAUGGAUCCACGACUUUGUGUUAAAGUCUCUGGAGGUUUUAUAUCAAGUGGAAAAAUGGGAGACACUAGUAUCACUUGCCAUCCAGUUCAAUACAAUUUCACAUGAGAGAUACACAGAGCAAGUGACACCGCUCCUGGUAUAUGCACAGCGCCAGCUUCUUCUAAGAAUAUCCAAGUUCAAUGGCCCAGAUGUUACCCAACAACCUUGUGCAAGAUAUGAAGCUGAAUAUGAAGAGAAGAUAACCUGCCGAAAUUUCAUUGGGAAGCAGCUCAAGAUUAAUCCUCCAACAAGUGAAGAGAAAGAUACAGGAAGCUGCACAGAUUUCUUUAAAAAGCUUAUCUAUUCAGAAUAUAGCCACGCCAAAGAGCUCAUCUGUGUGCCCGUGGACGUGACAGACACUUUGCGAUGUUUUAGACAGACUUUGGAAAAAUCCAAAUAUGAUAGCAGAUCAAUCCGACACAGCAGAAAAUUGCUUUCGUUAUUCCUUGCACAGACACAAGGAGAUAAAGGAGGAAUAAACAAUGAGAAAUUUACCACUGGAAAGGUGGAGUUUUGCCUGGGGACAGAAGAGAUGCAUAUGCCAACACCCCCUGACCUCUCUCAGGAACACUUUAGAGUUUUCAGUUCAGUGGAAAAAAGUAAACUUCCCUAUUCACAACUCGGACUCGUAAUUUCCUCUUAUUAUGAAACUAUUGAUGUUCUCCAAGCCUGCAAUAAAAGAAGUCUUAAAGUUCAGGCAUUGCAUGAACUGGGAAGCCUUCUCAUCUUUGCUGAAAAGAAAAGGGCUGCUUUUAAAUGUUGGUGCCAAGCUCUUGAUGACAUAUUCAGGAAACAAGAUGUGCUGCAUACAUGGAAAGAGUUUGGUAGCUCACUCACCAAUGCUACCAAUAGCUAUUUACCUCCAGGUUCCAAAGAUUAUAGUGAGGAAUUUCUGUCAAAUGUUGGCAUUUGGGGAUGUUUGCAAGGAGCGGUCAUAUCAGCAAAGAUAGCUCAAUUUAUUAAGAUCUCAGAGGUUGACGAGAGAACCAACUGUUGCAUUUUGUCUGCAUUACUCUUUCAGGGUUUGCUCAGAACCACACUUCCACACCCCAAAGCGGAACGUUGCUAUGCUCAGUAUGAAAUCACUCAGCUUCUCCCAGGCAUCGAGCUCUUCUCGGACAGAUACAGGGCUGACAUUUGCUCUGUAGUUGCAAGUCUGUAUUACGUUAUACGUGAACUGCACUUUGCUAAGCAAAAUCUAAUAGUUCUGCCUCUCCUUGCAUUGUAUCAGUAUUUUGUUUCUGGAAUUUGCCAAGACCUAGUCAGAAAUCUAGAAGCAAGGAUCCUUAAGAUAGAAGUCCUUACAGAUUUAGGAUUUUUUUCUGAAGCCUUUUAUGAGAUAUCCCAGAUUUUUUAUGGAAAAAACAUGCCUUCCUCAAUACCUGCAGGCUGUAAAGCUACUGGAAAAGUGAAGAUAUUUCAAUCAUUUGACUCAGGAAAACCUCUUACUAGUAAAGAAAAUUUACAGGCACUUGAUGAAUUAAUAAGUAAAGGAUUGCCUCUAAUUCUGGUUACAGUUGGCCAACCACAUCUCCUAAAUAAGUUUUCUUUCAUUAAAGCCUACUUUUUAAUAAGUGUGGCUGCAACAAUAAAUUGUGUCCCAGAAAAUUCAAUGAAAACAAUCUACCAUGGACUUGUUUCUGAGAAGAGUAGAGCAAACUUUCAAAACUUGAAAGAAUUAUGUUUAAAGGACGAGGGAAUCUCAUUUGGUCAGUUUGCAAAAAUUAAAGAUGACUUCACACUUAGCACAAUAAAGUCAGCUUUACUGACAGAAGCUGAGGACAGGCUAAACUUCCUUGUGUCAGAGAUGGAGCAUCCAGGCCACAAGGACCUGUCCCAGUGUUCUGCUGGUGAGUUGGAGAUUGUGGUAGAGGCCAGGCUUCAGCUGGCUGCAAUUGCCCUGCAAAGACACCGGGCCGCAUACAGUGCUGCAAUAGUAUUUUCCACACUUAGACUUCUCCAGGAUUCAAAACUUUUUAAAAAGAAGGUAGUACAAGAUGACACAGAGAAUUCCAUCUCUCUGGGAGCUUCUGCAACUGAAAAUAAAGAUGAUGGUGAGUUUCUAGAUCCUACUUCCCUAAAUUCUCGAGAACAUUUCAACAUUCAUCUGUGGUUGAGAUGCCGCCUAGCAUUGGUGACCGCCUUUGUUGCACAGAUUCAUGGCGUUGGAAUUGUGACAGAAAACAAUAUGACAGAUUACCUCAGCCUCAUCAACGAGGGGUGCAUGGAAGCAAAAAGUGCAGGCGACAGGGAGCUACAAGCUGAAUUCUUGAUGCAAGCUGUAAUCAUUGGCCUACAAGAAAAGCAUUUAAAGGCAGACAUCAUAACAAACCUUCAGGCUGUAAUACAUUUGCUUGAAGAAAGUGAAUUUAUUUCCCCUCGAUCUCAUUUAACCCUGGUGAGAAGCAUGCUUUUGCUGGAUGACUUAACAAAAGCUGAGAAAUUCAAGGAAACUCCUUCUUCAAAAACAGAAAAAUUAUGUUUGUUGACUCAGGCUCACAACAUUCUUAUUGAACAGAUGCUAACUUUUGGAGAAACGAUUGAAUUUCCUUUAUCAAACACUGACUCUGCAAGUCCAUCGCAUCCUUUGAAAAAUAUCUAUCUUCCCCAUGUCAUGUUAUUGGCCAAAACAAAAAUGAGGAUUGGACAUACAGUGGCCAAACAAGUCUAUUAUACCAGUAAAAAGAAGGAUCCCUCGAAGUGGUUACCUGCCCUUCAUCUUUUUGAAAUGGCACGGAAGCUCUGUAAGGUAGCAGCAGCAGAAGAACAUGAGGUAGAGGCAGAAAUUCUUUUUCAGAAAGGCAAAAUAGAACGUCAAAUAUUGAUGGAAGAGAAAUCUCCAAGUUCACAACUUGAGAGUUUAUUUGAAGCUAUACAACUAAGCUUGAGAAAUGAUCAAAACUCCGGAUUGAUAAGAGACUCCUACUUAGAAAUGGCCUUAUUAUUUUUACAUAUGAGGAAGCCAAAAAACAAUCUUUCAACACCACCAUUAACACUUAAGACUCCUACCAGAAGGCAUAGUUCUAUUAAAGAACCAACAGUAAAUCGAUUUGAAAUGUACAGUUCACUGGCCUGGACUGUGAUAAGAGCUGCUGCCCAGGUCAGUGAAGCUGUGCUAGCAGCUAACCUACUUAUUGGAAAGAAGAAUGCUAGAACUGAUAAAGUCAGCCAAGGGGCCUUACCAAAUAUCCCCGAAUUUGCCACUGUGGAUCUUUUGUCUUCAUAUACAGAUUAUUUGCUUGAUAACUACCAAGUGGUGUUCCAGACUGCCUGUACAUUUUCUUAUCAAAAUGAUGGCAUGUGUGACAACACAGAUGCUAGAAAAAAGACUCCGACUAAAGUGGAUAUUACGUGGAUUCUUCUACUGCGCUACUAUAUUCAUCUGCAAAGGAUUAAUAAUAUGAGCAAAUUGCUAGCAUCUCCAAAGCCAGGAUCUGGAAUUUCUUUGCCAGAUGAUACACUUCUCACAUCCCUUUUCAACUCUGGGCUGAUAUUGCGCCAAAAGGAAAUGCAUUUUUUCCUUAAAAGAUUUUUACAGCUGUAUUCUUCCUCUUGUAUUGAUGAAUUUCCAAAAGAACUAUGUCAAGGAGUGGAAACUACAUUUUUCUCAGAAAAAACCUUAUAUAACUCAGUCAAGGUAUGUCAUGACAGUACUCUAUGCUCUGAUUCAUCAUUAAAGCUCUCUGCCAGCCCAUCUUCAGGAGAUGUGUCAUCAGAUAUGAACAUACAAGAUUUAAACAAAGAACUUUGCUUUCAAUGGUACAUUCCUCCUCUAGAAAGACCCCCAAAGGAAACAGAACCUAUGGUUUUAUUGUUGUAUGCAUAUAACAUGAGGCCCCAGAAUAUUUCAGAUGCUGUGCCUAAUAGCACUUGCAGCGAUGUCUGUGUUGGCUCUUUCUGGGUUCCACUGAACAGGGUUAUUUCAAUUCAUGAGAAACUAUCUAAUCUUACGCAAAUAGCUGAAAUAUCAUUGCCAACAACUCCUGAAAUUACUUCAGAUGAAAAUGUAUCCGAAAUGCAAGAAAUGGAAGAGAAAUCGGUUGAUAAGGAAAUGGAAAACAUGAUUAUUGAAUGUUGCUCUGAAAUAAUAAAUCUAUUUUUGACUGAUAGAGAUACAACACCAUUGUCUGAGACUUCUAUCCUUUCUAGGAAGCCAGAAUCAUCACCAUUUCUUUAAUACUGCUCCUUGCAAGCCUAACCUACUUGAACUAAUUUUCAGUCUGCUUACCUGCCAAGCCGUUCCCUUCCUUUCUCUCCACAAAGCCUUUCUUGAUCCAGGAAAAGGAACCAGGAUUCCUCGGUCCCAUUUGCUAUCUCGCUGCCAUCUAUAUUCAAUCUUGAGAGACUUUUUGAUCUUGCUAACGGUUGUAUUAUAUCAGGAGGCAGCC